rnacentral:misc_RNA from 1 species
AAGUCGUAACAAGGUUUCCGUAGGUGAACCUGCGGAAGGAUCAUUACAGAAAUAGAUUUCAGAGGAGUGUUCAGGCUUUGCCUGGGCCUCUUUGAAACUCUACCUUCAAUCCCCCCCUUUAAAUGUGAACUUUGACGCAAGCAACAGCAAGUGCCCCUAUCUUUGAAUAGGGGUAUUAGGCACUUGUGCUCUUUUUUCUAUACUAUACACCUGUCAAUUGAAUGUGUUGGUUUAUACAAAUAUGAAAUAUAACUUUCAGCAAUGGAUCUCUUGGCUCUC